rnacentral:rRNA from 1 species
GACGAAUGCUGGCGGCGUGCUUAACACAUGCAAGUCGAACGGAAAGGCCCUGCUUGCCGGGUACUCGAGUGGCGAACGGGUGAGUAACACGUGGGUGAUCUGCCCUGCACUUCGGGAUAAGCCUGGGAAACUGGGUCUAAUACCGGAUAGGAGCCAUUUUUAGUGUGAUGGUUGGAAAGUUUUUUCGGUGUAGGAUGAGCUCGCGGCCUAUCAGCUUGUUGGUGGGGUAAUGGCCUACCAAGGCGGCGACGGGUAGCCGGCCUGAGAGGGUGGACGGCCACAUUGGGACUGAGAUACGGCCCAGACUCCUACGGGAGGCAGCAGUGGGGAAUAUUGCACAAUGGGCGCAAGCCUGAUGCAGCAACGCCGCGUGGGGGAUGACGGCCUUCGGGUUGUAAACUCCUUUCGCUAGGGACGAAGCUUUUGUGACGGUACCUAGAUAAGAAGCACCGGCUAACUACGUG